rnacentral:rRNA from 1 species
UACGGAGGGGGCAAGCGUUGUCCGGACUUACUGGGCGUAAAGGGUGCGUAGGCGGCCUGCUGCGUCGGUGCUGAAAGCGCCCGGCUUAACCGGGCGAGGCGUGCCGAUACGAGCGGGCUGGAGCCUUGGCGAGGGUGGCGGAAUUCCCGGUGUAGUGGUGAAAUGCGUAGAUAUCGGGAGGAACACCAGUGGCGAAGGCGGCUUUCUGGCCCGUUCUUGACGCUGAGGCGCGAAAGCUAGGGUAGCAAACGGG